UGUAGAUGUAGUGAUUUCCCCUACAAUGACAUUCUUUUGACCUGGCACCCAACAACUACGUAGUGUAGAUGUAGUGAUUGUAUAAGUUAGUGAACUGUUAUAAGCUGUUGUAACCAAUGUAGAUGUAUUGAUUAUAUAAGUUAGUGAACUGUUAUAAGCUGUUGUAACCAAUGAAACAAAAGGAGCAAGUAGGAGAAUAGGAAACCCUGUUUAAGCAGUUGCCGGGGAGAGAAAGAUUUAGUAUGUCUGUUUUGUGAGAAACAGGUCACAGGUCAGAGACACACACACAUAGUCGGACAGACAAGACAGAAACCAGAAAGGGGGGCAAGGGGAUACUUGCAGUUAUCCUAUAAGGAAUAAAACUGGGAUUGGGCCAAUGGCACACACUUUGUAAGUUAACGCCUCUAUCUUUUUGGGCGUAGUAGAAGUAUAAAAAUGAUGUUUUGACUGUUGAUCCUUAGACAUUGUGCGGCGACACGUGUCUCCAGAAGCUUCUGUAAUAAAUGGACGUAUAACUACGGUAAUUGCCCUGACUCCCUGUGUUUUAUUCUCCUUUCCAACAAACCAACUCGGGGAAGUGUUAGACUUCAACAAUUUGGGGGCUCGUCCGGGAUUGGAAAGAGGAGAAGGAAUUCGAUCUUGUCCAGACAACCUACGCGAGAUUCACAGGUUCCGAGCCGGCUCAUGAUAAAGGUAAGCAGAGCCUGUUAUAUCUAAAUCUGCAUAUUGGCUAUGAACUAAAUUUUGAACCUGUGGAAAACGUAUUGGGAGACUGGUUUAAAUUCAGGGGGUCAGGGGAACGGUCUGUGAGUUAGAGUCUCACUAUAAGUCGGGUUAGAGGCCCGUUACCGGUGUGUGAGUUAGAGUCUCACUGUAAGUCGGGUUAGAGGCCCGCUACCGGUGUGUGAGUUAGAGUCUCACUCUAAGUCGGGUUAGAGGCCCGUUAAUCGUUCUAGGGUUGACUACCCUACGCCACUUCCCGACGGGGACGGUGGAGAGUUGCGAGUUAGAGUCUCGGCAACCAGUCGGGUUAGAGUCCCGAGGACUUAGGGGCACCUCGAAGUACUUAUUGUGUGUAAAGGUUCAUCUGGGUUAGAGUCCCGGGGAGUUUUAGAACUCCCCAAAUUCUGUAUCUGGGUUAGAGUCCCGGGGAGUUUUAGAACUCCCCAAAUUCUGUAUCUGGGUUAGAGUCCCGGGGAGUUUUAGAACUCCCCAAAUUCUGUAUCUGGGUUAGAGUCCCGGGGAGUUUUAUAACUCCCCAAAUUCUGUAUCUGGGUUAGAGUCCCGGGGAGUUUUAUAACUCCCCAAAUUCUGUGUCUGGGUUAGAGUCCCGGGGAGUUUUAUAACUCCCCAAAUUCUGUAUCUGGGUUAGAGUCCCGGGGAGUUUUAUAACUCCCCAAAUUCUGUAUCUGGGUUAGAGUCCAGGGGAGUUUUAGAACUCCCCAGAUUCUGUAUCUGGGUUAGAGUCCCGGGGAGGUUUAGAACUCCCCAAAUUCUGUAUCUGGGUUGGAGUCCCGGGGAGUUUUAGAGCUCCCCAAAUUCUGUAUAAGAGAACUGGGUUCAAGUCCCAAAAAGUGUUGGGUCAGGUACCCGUUAAUCAUUUGUUAAUUAUUCUGAGUCUGGGACUCACAGUAACGUAAGUCAGGUUGAAAUGGACGGGGAGUGUGAGAGAAGUUGAUGACGAUGGGCGGUGUCCAGGCACGGGAAAGUGGAAACAAUUGGGGAUACAGGUGGCAAAUGUAAUGACUGUUGUAGGCAGGAUGGACCCAAUUCAGAAAGAAAAAGAAGGGAUAGAAGAGAAAUUGCGACAAGUGGUGAGUGAGGCAGGAUUAAGGAUGGAGGAAAGGAGACCAUUACAUGUUAUUUUGUGGAAUAAGGAGAAGGAGUGUUCUAAAAAUCGAGAUAGAGUUAGAGACAAGAAGGAAACAGCCAAUUUGGUCAAGAGAGGGAGAUAUAGAGAAAAGGAGAAGGAAUGAGAAAAGCACAGAAAAGAAUGGUGUAAAUUAGCAGUGUGGUGUCAGGGCGUAGACCAUUUGAACAAAGAGAAAAAGGGACAGAAAAUUAAGGAG
ensembl:lncRNA